ACCCGCUUCUUCUUCUGUUUCCCCCGGCCUCGCGUCGCAACCUCUGUAUCAAAAGAGAAGCAACACGCAUGCGCAGCACAGCCUUCGCUCUCUUUUGGUUCCUCUGAUUCAGAUCUGCUCUGGAGAACGCUUGAGGACGGAAGCAGCCGUUCCCUAUCAAAAAGGAGCUUCUUUUCAGUUAGCACCUUCCACACAGCUGUAUAAAAUCUACAUUGAGCUGGAUUAUAUGGCAGUGUGGACUCAAAUAAUCACUUCAAAGCAGAUAUUGUGGAUUAUCUGCCUUGAUAUUCUGGGUUACAGGACUGUGUGGAAGUCUUGCUCAUGCAACAACAAUACUCUUAUUAUUGAUGUUUGUUUGUUUGUUUGUUUUCCAAAAAUAAAACGCCUACACAGUUAAAAGGACAGUUCACCCCUUAAAAGAUUUUUUUAUGUGAGGUUUGCAACUCUGGGCCCUUCCACACAGCCCUAUAUCCCAGAAUAUCAAGGCAGAAAAUCCCACAAUAUCUGCUUUGAACUGGGUUAUUUGAGUCCACACUCAGGUAAUGUAAGAUUUUCUGCCUUGAUAUUCUGGGAUAUAGGGUUGUGUGGAAGGGCCCUCCGCAUUUACAACAACACAUGGACAACAGUGUGCCUGGUGGUUGACUGAUAUUCUUAACUAUUGUUAUAAUAUUCUCAUUUUAUAUUGUAUUACUGUUUUUAUCUUGCACUGUGAAUUGUGUUUAUGUUGUUUAUAUUAUGGUGUUGGGUUCUGCCCCAUGUAAGCCACCCCAAGUCCCUGUGGGGAGAUGGUGGCAGGAUAUAAAUAAAGUUUUAUUAUUAUUAUUAUUAUUAUUAUUUUAUAGUAAAGGUAAAGGUUUCCCCUGACGUUAAGUCCAGUCAUGUCUGACUCUGGGGGUUGGUGCUCAUCUCCAUUUCUAAGCCAAAUAGCCGGCGUUGUCCGAAGACACCUCCAAGGUCAUGUGGCAGGCAUGGCUGCAUGGAGCGCCGUUACCUUCCCACCGGAGCGGAUACCCAGAAUGAGCUGCUUUCUUCCAAGAAGCAUUUAUAUCUUUCAUAAGCACAUCAAAGAAUAUCACACUAUUCCACAAUUUAUGCAACGAGGACGUGUGCUCUUUUUCUCCUUGAAAAGAUUGGAUUUCUCCUUCAAAAGAGUGUCAACAAAAAGAAACUGGGUCUCUGCGUUUGGUGAUAUUUGAAAAUUACUGUCUUAGAUGAGUGAGUCAGAGGUACAGGAUUACACCAAGAGAGGCAAGAGUUUGACCACCUGCAAAAGAAAAGCAUUUUCUUAAUUUCUACAGUUUUCUGAAAUAUUUGGGAUUUUCCUCCCUCUCCUUAGUGACAAGAACUACUGACAUAAUGUCAAGUGAAGAGUACAGGUUCGAACUCAUAGAAUCCCCAGACAGCCCUUUACAACCCUUUUGGAAUUUUAAAACAAAUUUUAAAACAGAACUACUCAGACUAUUGAUGGUUGCUAGAUAUUUGCUUUAUACUGUAUUAUGUGUGUUUGUUUUUAUACUGCUGAAAUGGUUUUUAUGAAUUUUAAGUAUGUUGAACUCGGGCUUAUCAAGCCACGCCGAGUCCCUUCAGGGAGAUGAAAGUGGCGGUGUACAAAAAUGAAGUUGUUGUGUUGUUGUUGUUGUUGUUAUUAUUAUUAUUAUUAUUAUUAUUAUUAUUAUUAUUAUUAUUAUUAUUAUUAUAUAGUUCUAAAAUGUUUCUGAAACAGAUCGUUCUGGUGAAAAAGGUGACUGCAACCUAGCAAUCUAGAAUGGCCAACAGUUUCAUGCCAAACAGCCUCAUUCUGGGUUACUGUGAGUUUUCCGGGCUGUAUGGCCAUAUUCCAGAAGCAUUCUUUCCUGACGUUUUGCCUACAUCUAUCUAUGGCAGGCAUCCUCAGAGGUUGUUGAGGUCUACUGGAGACUAGGCAAGUGAGGUUUAUAUAUCUGUGGAAGUUCCAGGAUGGGAGAAAGAAUUCUUGUCUGUUGGAGGCAAGUGUGAAUGUUUCAAUUAAUUACCUUGAUUAGCAUUGAGAAGCCUUGCAGUUUCAAAGCCUGGCUGAUUCCUGCCUGGGAAAAUCCUUUGUUGGGAGGUGUUAGCUGGCCCUAAUUGUUUCAUGUCUGGAAUUCCCUGUUUUCAGAGUGUUGUUCUUUAUUUACUGUCCUGGUUUUAGAGGGUUUUUUUAAUACUGGUAACCAGAUUUUGUUCAUUUUCCUGGUUUCCUCCUGUCUGUUGAAAUUGACGAUUUCUUUUUUUUAAUCAUCUUUACUAAAUGUUUUCCAUAUAUUUAAACUUUCCACACUAUGUAUAAAAAGAUAAGAAAAGAAAAAUCAGGAAGAGGAAAAAACCCACACACCCAUAACAAAGAAAAAUAAAACUAUAGUAUAGUCUUUGCUUCCAGUCAUUGUUCUAUGUGGUUUUUUCUUUUUCCUUCUUUCUCUUAUUUUUCUCCUCUCAUUCUCCCAGUCUUCUUUUUCCCUCCAUUCGGAUAUAUAUUCUGUUACUCUUCAGGUCAUUAUCUUCCUAUUUUCUUGUUUUAAAUACUCUGUGAUUUGAUUCCAAUCUGUGUCAUUCAUCGGGUUCCUCUUAAGUUCAGAUGGUGGAAUAGUUCAACAUCAGUGUCAACUUUUUGUGGAGAGGUGGCUGCCAAGGUAGCUGAAAUGGUCAGCACUUUUCCCCGUGGCCAUAGUCGAGGACAACCUCCAAGAUGCCGGAAAUAAGAUGGGAAAAACUGCCUUUACCUCUGUCCUUGUUUAUAUAAUUGUAUAGUUGGCACUGAAUAUUUGCCAUAUGUGUGUUCUGUAAGUUGCUCUGAGAUCCCUUCGGGGUGAGAAGAGCAGGGUAUAAAUACUGUAAAUAAAAUAAAUUUAUUAGCAUUA